rnacentral:rRNA from 1 species
UACGAAGGGGGCUAGCGUUGUCCGGAAUUACUGGGCGUAAAGGGAGCGUAGGCGGACAUUUAAGUCAGGGGUGAAAUCCCGAGGCUCAACCUCGGAACUGCCUUUGAUACUGGAUGUCUUGAGUGUGAGAGAGGUGAGUGGAACUCCGAGUGUAGAGGUGAAAUUCGUAGAUAUUCGGAAGAACACCAGUGGCGAAGGCGACUCACUGGCUCAUUACUGACGCUGAGGCUCGAAAGCGUGGGGAGCAAACAGG